rnacentral:misc_RNA from 1 species
UCUCCGUAGGUGAACCUGCGGAGGGAUCAUUACAGAGUUCAUGCCCUACCGGGUAGAUCUCCCACCCUAUGUUAUUAUUACUUUGUUGCUUUGGCGGGCCGUUAGGCUCCGGCCCGACUACCGGCCCCGGCUGGUAGCGCCCGCCAGAGGACCCAAAACCCUGAAUAUUAGUGUCGUCUGAGUACUAUAUAAUAGUUAAAACUUUCAACAACGGAUCUCUUGGUUCUG